rnacentral:rRNA from 1 species
CGGGUGAGUAAUGUCUGGGAAACUGCCUGAUGGAGGGGGAUAACUACUGGAAACGGUAGCUAAUACCGCAUAACGUCGCAAGACCAAAGUGGGGGACCUUCGGGCCUCAUGCCAUCAGAUGUGCCCAGAUGGGAUUAGCUAGUAGGUGGGGUAAUGGCUCACCUAGGCGACGAUCCCUAGCUGGUCUGAGAGGAUGACCAGCCACACUGGAACUGAGACACGGUCCAGACUCCUACGGGAGGCAGCAGUGGGGAAUAUUGCACAAUGGGCGCAAGCCUGAUGCAGCCAUGCCGCGUGUGUGAAGAAGGCCUUCGGGUUGUAAAGCACUUUCAGCGGGGAGGAAGGCG